GAUGAACGCUGGCGGCGUGCCUAAUACAUGCAAGUCGAGCGAACGGACGAGGAGCUUGCUUCUCUGAUGUUAGCGGCGGACGGGUGAGUAACACGUGGAUAACCUACCUAUAAGACUGGGAUAACUUCGGGAAACCGGAGCUAAUACCGGAUAAUAUAUUGAACCGCAUGGUUCAAUAGUGAAAGACGGUUUUGCUGUCACUUAUAGAUGGAUCCGCGCCGCAUUAGCUAGUUGGUAAGGUAACGGCUUACCAAGGCGACGAUGCGUAGCCGACCUGAGAGGGUGAUCGGCCACACUGGAACUGAGACACGGUCCAGACUCCUACGGGAGGCAGCAGUAGGGAAUCUUCCGCAAUGGGCGAAAGCCUGACGGAGCAACGCCGCGUGAGUGAUGAAGGUCUUCGGAUCGUAAAACUCUGUUAUUAGGGAAGAACAAAUGUGUAAGUAACUAUGCACGUCUUGACGGUACCUAAUCAGAAAGCCACGGCUAACUACGUG
rnacentral:rRNA from 1 species